AACGUCUCUGCGGUCUUUACAAGGCUUCCAGACAUCCAGAAACCAUGUACUGCUUAGUGCUCGCUCUCUCUGUACUAUUCAUGGCUCAGGGAGUCACCAGUCGCCCUGGAAUUCGAGAUAGAGAUGGAGGUGGUGAUGUGAUGAAAUGGCUGUCCUUGGAUUGUGAAUUGCUUGGAGGAGUGUGCGCGGAUUCGUGUCUGACAACACAGAAAGAUGUUGGAGAUUGCUCUGAUGUUGGGGGCAUUUGCUGCAGAUAAAGAAGGCAAAGCUGAGGCAGCGGAAUGGAGCGCUGUCUGUCACCAGCGCAGGAGAAAGGAUGGGAUUGUCAAUGUCUCAGCCACCGGCCUCCUGUAGCUUGUAACCCACUCCCUGAACAACAGGGCGGAGGGCAAUAAAUAAAUAUCAUUCAUCUCA